GGAGAAGUGCUGAGGUGGGCUAAGAAGACCAAGACCCUAGACUAACAUGGCUACCACUCUGAAACCUGAACCCACACAGAAGCUGCAGACUCCAGAAACAUGACUGGUUGUGAGGAGCAGUCUGAGCCUGAAGCAGGAAGUCUGACAGACCAUCCAUGGGGCCGCUGGAUGAUUGAAGUGCUAAUGGACCACUCAAGGAAGACAAGGCUGUUGCGGAGAAGCUAAAUGAAUUCUUUGCAUCCAUCCAUCUUCACGGCAGAGGAUGUGAGGGAGAUUCCCACACCUGAGCCAUUCUUUUUAGCUGAUCGAUUUGAAGAACUGUCCCAAACUGAGGGGCCGAGAGAGGAGGUGGUUUUGAAACAAAUUGAUAAACUAAACAGCAAUAAGUCACCAGAACCAGAUGGUAUU